rnacentral:rRNA from 1 species
UACGUAGGUGGCGAGCGUUGUCCGGAUUUACUGGGCGUAAAGGGAGCGUAGGCGGACUUUUAAGUGAGAUGUGAAAUACCCGGGCUCAACUUGGGUGCUGCAUUUCAAACUGGAAGUCUAGAGUGCAGGAGAGGAGAGUGGAAUUCCUAGUGUAGCGGUGAAAUGCGUAGAUAUUAGGAGGAACACCAGUUGCGAAGGCGGCUCUCUGGACUGUAACUGACGCUGAGGCACGAAAGCGUGGGGAGCAAACAGGAUUAGAUACCCG